rnacentral:rRNA from 1 species
CGGACGGGUGAGUAACACGUGGAUAACCUACCUAUAAGACUGGGAUAACUUCGGGAAACCGGAGCUAAUACCGGAUAACAUGUUGAACCGCAUGGUUCAACAGUGAAAGACGGUCUUGCUGUCACUUAUAGAUGGAUCCGCGCCGCAUUAGCUAGUUGGUAAGGUAACGGCUUACCAAGGCAACGAUGCGUAGCCGACCUGAGAGGGUGAUCGGCCACACUGGAACUGAGACACGGUCCAGACUCCUACGGGAGGCAGCAGUAGGGAAUCUUCCGCAAUGGGCGAAAGCCUGACGGAGCAACGCCGCGUGAGUGAAGAAGGUCUUCGGAUCGUAAAACUCUGUUAUUAGGGAAGAACAAAUGUGUAAGUAACUAUGCACGUCUUGACGGUACCUAAUCAGAAAGCCACGGCUAACUACGUGCCAGCAGCCGCGGUAAUACGUAGGUGGCAAGCGUUAUCCGGAAUUAUUGGGCGUAAAGCGCGCGUAGGCGGUUUUUUAAGUCUGAUGUGAAAGCCCACGGCUCAACCGUGGAGGGUCAUUGGAAACUGGAAAACUUGAGUGCAGAAGAGGAAAGUGGAAUUCCAUGUGUAGCGGUGAAAUGCGCAGAGAUAUGGAGGAACACCAGUGGCGAAGGCGACUUUCUGGUCUGUAACUGACGCUGAUGUGCGAAAGCGUGGGGAUCAAACAGGAUUAGAUACCCUGGUAGUCCACGCCGUAAACGAUGAGUGCUAAGUGUUAGGGGGUUUCCGCCCCUUAGUGCUGCAGCUAACGCAUUAAGCACUCCGCCUGGGGAGUACGACCGCAAGGUUGAAACUCAAA